rnacentral:lncRNA from 1 species
GCUCUAAGGACCAGGAAAAGUUAAAAGUGGACCAACCACUCAAUAAGGUGGCUCUUCAGACCCUUCAGUGCCUACCACGAGGGGGAACAAUUCCACAGGAAAUGGCUUAGGCAGAGUCAUCCCAAACCUAAGCUGCCUCUACUGGCUAGAAAUCAACUGUGGAGUUCCAACCAACAGUAACCAGCCAGCCGUACCCCAGGCUUUCAUUCUCAUAAAAGACUAAACUACUGUAAACCCAAAAUAAAAUUCUAAGGCCCCCCCAACCAUCUGAAUGGACAUCCUCCUCUGCCAGGGCACUCUAAAAUUUAACCUGAAAGACUGGUUCAGGAUAUGGCAGAAAGUGGGGGGAUCGGACCUACCUCAUUAUACCCUCCAACAUUAACAUAAACACAG